rnacentral:rRNA from 1 species
UACGGGGGGAGCAAGCGUUGUUCGGAUUUACUGGGCGUAAAGGGCGCGUAGGCGGUCAGCACAAGUCAGUUGUGAAAUCUCCGGGCUUAACUCGGAAAGGUCAACUGAUACUGUGCGACUAGAGUGCAGAAGGGGCAACUGGAAUUCUCGGUGUAGCGGUGAAAUGCGUAGAUAUCAGGAGGAACACCGGUGGCGAAGGCGCCACUCUGGGCCGGUACUGACGCUGAGGAGCGAAAGCGUGGGUAGCAAACAGG